GCCAUAAGGUAAUAUGGUAGUUAAUUAAUUAAUUAGUAUUUCUGUCUAAUUAAUAAAUCUACCUUCAUAUUUUUAUUUGCAUAAAUAUAAAAAAAGAAAAUAAAAAUCUUUAUUUCUUCAUUUACUGCAUCAUAAAAUAUUAAAAGCUCCACAGGAAUAAACUUAUGGUAACCCUGUAGGAAUAUUUACUGUGGUGACAUAAAGAAUAAUGAUAAUAAUAGCUCCUGUAUUUACUUUCUUGCAUUAUGAAAAUCCUAAGCCGCAUAAGAAUAAAUAUUCUCUGUGGAGGCAUAAAAAUACAACUAUAUAUAUAUCAUGCACACAUAUUUACAUAAUUAAACUAGAAAAUCCUAAAAUGAGAGAGAAUCCUGCUAGAACUUGUCAAUUUAAAAUCAACUCAUAAGAAUGAUCAAUUACUCUUUAGCUGACCGCUAACCCUUUAUUAAAUUCGAGCCUCGAGUUUUGGUUUUCUUUUUGGAGUGUAAUUAUGCAGGAACAACAUUAUGACAAGUAGAGAGUCUAUUAGUGGCACCCACCUGGAGCGCUGCCGGUUAGCUCACUCUGAAGAUCAUCAACACCAAUUAUUGCAAAUUUCUAGCUUAGUGGAGGAGCAUCCCCUAGUUAUCGGGUAACUAUACGUAGGCGAUUAUCGAGUCUAUUUUAUAUAGUCAUAAAAUACCAAAAAUAUGUGAGCACAUGAAGGUUCAUAAUAGUAUCAUAAGAAAAUAUUAAAAUACCAAAAAUAUAUAGGCACAUGAAGGUCCAUGUCUUUAGAGUCUUUUAAGUCCAAUAGAAAUGAAUAAAAACCAAACAAAAUACUUAUCUAUAUAUUAAUGUGUGAUCAUAGAAUGUGUCUAUAGUCAGUCUAUUUUAGAGUCAAAUAAAAAUUAGGGAAUAUUAAAGUUCUGUCUUGGAGAUGAUGAAUAGUUGCUCUACAGUAAUUCCUUUCAAGUGCCUAGUUUUCAAACAUAAAUUUUCCCGAGUUUUAGACAUGACCACUUUAAGAAUUUACUCUGGACCUAAAUUUUGUGGAGGCAUAUGUUUAAGCUAUGUCUAGGUGAUUGCUAUUAUACAUGAAGGUCUAAGCUGGUAUUUAUCUUAUUCCUAGAAUUACUAAGUUUUGGAGAUUUAUUUUAAAAAAAACAAAAUCCUACAUGAUGAGCUCUUGUAUGAUAAAGUUCAAAUUCCUACCAAAGCCAUAUUUUAUACAUUUAGAGUUAGGAAAACCUUUGCGCAUACAUGCUGCUUGAGUUUAGUCAACCUUUGUUGGAUACCUUAUGAGAGUCUUGUCAUGCUUUUAAAAUCAAGAUCACUUACACACUCCACCCACAUAUGCAUUACUCCUACUCUAGGAGUAAGCGCAAUUAUUUUCCAUUUUUCAUCCAGAUCCACCUUAAAAAUGUUUCUUCUCCUACACUAGGAGUAAACGCCCAAAAAUAUACCCUAUAGGACAGCCCCCAUUUAAUUGCUCUAAGAUUCUUAUCAUUAUCUCUCCAAUUAUUUAUAUUCAAGGGAUGCAUGUGGCUAUGCAAAAGUAUUUAAAAAAUAAUAAAAAAGAAGAAAAAAAUAAAUAAAAUAAAAAAGGGGAGUAAAAGAUGGACAAGUGUCCCAAUAAAUUAAAACAAUGGGUACAUCGAUGCCCACCUCCCAUAGUGAUAAAAAAAGAAAGAGAGAAUAAUGAUAGCCCAUGUUUUCCUGUGAAAAGUUUUGAGGAGGGAGUAAUUUUCAAAGAGCAAAAGUAGAAUUAGGAUUAGCCACCAAAUACUAUAUAUACACCUAUCCACCAUAUUCCAUACACAUGCACAUCUUGAUUUGAUUGUAUGCCUUGAUUCUCUGUGGAUCCAUUGUUUGACUUUACAAUAUAUGAAUUGCAUGUAUGCUCAUCCUUGUUAUUGCCACUCCUAUAAGCUCCACUAUAUAUAAAUCCUUAGUUGUAGGAAGGCAUAACCUCAUUAAUGCCUCAGCGAGAUCCAUAAAUACUACAUAAUAAGAGACUUGAGGGUGUCAUACAAUUAAGCUCUGAGUUUUAUUUUGAAAACUUACAAAACUCUAGAAAAUUGUUACUGUGAAGAAUUUGAGACAUAGUACUUGACUUGAUUGCUCUAUCUUUCGAUUACUCAAGACUUAUGCAAAAGCUGUAAAGCUCCAUGGUUAAAGGUAAAAUGGUUAAGUCUGGAAGUUAGACCAGAGGAAAAUUUAUGUUUAAACGCAAGUGUACUUAAAAGAAAUAAAAGUAUUGUAGCAACUCCUGAUCCAAGUUUCGGGUUGUUUGUCAAGGGACUGGCAAAAGAUAAGCUUGGGGAAUUGUUGAUGGUCGAUAAUGUCAAUAUUUAUUAGAACUUUAAACCUGAAGGAGAAACUAGUUCUUCUAGAUCUAGUCUUGUUUAGAGAUUAGAGAGAUUAAUUAGAGGAGUAGAGAUUCUGGAGGAGUUCCGGCAUGUCGGCGCUUCUUCAUGGCUGUAUUCUUCUGGAUUCAGUUCCCUCGUCCAGAGCUGCGUUCUGAAGUACUUUUGUAUUUACCCUUCAGGUUUAAGUAAGCAACUUGUUCUUAUUCGUUCUUUGGUUCACAACUAAUAUUGAGUGCUUUGAUCUUGGUCAUUACUUGGUUGAAGUAGUAUUUUGUAGUGUAGGUGUGGUGCUUAGGCUAGGUUUACUUGUGAAUGUCCCCUGAUCAGCCGGAUAGUGGUAGUUCCCGUAGGUGACAGCUGUGUUGAUUCCUCUGUAGUCCAUAUCCCGUUGGUAGGAUUGAUAGGCUUAUAGGUGCCUGGUAGGAGAUUACUCUGAUUCUUCUCUUAUUCGGGGUUACUUGCCCGAUAAGACAAUAUUAUACAAAGUUUACCAGAAAUCAGAGUCAGUGUACAUUAGUUGUUUCCUUUUUCUUGAUAUGACUCCCACCAGGUCUGAGCUGCUCCCUGAAUCUGUCUAGAAGCAUACAACACUUUUUCCAUAUCAUUGCACUGUGCUAUGUUUGGUUGUCUCUCCACAGCACGUAGCCAAUCAUGUACCUCCAUAGGAUCAGCUGAUUGUGUAAAUACUGGAGGUCUUCACUUCAUAAAUUCUCCACGCUUAUCUCUCACAUGGACAGGUGGUGGUGGUGGUGGUGUAGGCUGAUGCUGAAGGUGCUGCAUAAAGGCAUGCAUCAUCUCAUUCUAAGUCUGCAUAAGCUCUUCCACAGUAAUUGGGGCAUUAGCACCCCUGCCACGGCAUCUGCCUCUGCCUGUUCCCUUUGCUGCCAUCUGCAUUCCAAGGUACAUAAACAUAUCUCAGUAAUAUCCAACAUGAUAAAUACAACUGAUAAUUGAAUCUGAAUUUUUUUCUAGGUGAUAUCCAACAUUAGCAGUUCAGACAAUCAGUCAUAUCUCGAGUUCCAGAACUCAAAAGGAGCCAUUCUUUACACCUUUGGAAAGAUAAAGAACUUACCUACAACUUUCAUUUAUACCAUAUUAACAUAUUCUGUCGUUAAAUUAGUCAAAACUGGGUAUAACCAAAACGGUUCCAGAAUUCCAGACUGCGCAGAAGCUUCAACUUUGAACAGUUAUAUCUCACAGACCAUAAUGGAUAAUAAUGUCAUUCUUGCGGCAUUCGAAAGAUAAAGAAGUCUAAAUGUUCUCAAAAAAUUGUGAUAAACUUUUCACGUACAGAAUUUGAGAUAUACCAGAUUUAUUGCAGACUGCUCCAGAAAUCAGCAAGGGACAGAAACAGAAUUUUAACCAAACCCAACUAUUUAGUUCAUUAAUCCUUAUGCCUUAGGGCUAUAAACUAAAUGAAAUUGUGGAGAAAAUCCACAAGAUCAUUACACUCAUUACAAAGAUCCAAAUCAAGCAUAAGCAUAAUGACAACCAAACCAAGCAUUAAAGGUUCACACUUCAAGGAUUGACUCAACUUGCGGUACAAUCGUUCUCUUCCUAUUAAGGGUAAGGAUCCUAAACUCCUAUUUCAAUGACGCCAGAAAGUGGCAAGAGAAAGUUCUAAAAGCAUACCAAGGCAAGAAGUGAGGAUGAGAACAGGUCUUUAAAAUAAGCAACUAGGUGAAGAUGAAUAGCAAUGGAAAGGAUAUAGUGUAGAGGAAAGUAUCAAGGUUUAUAGAACAAGGAUUUUGUAGCAAUUUCAAAACCUUAAGACGGCCAAUUUCUAACGUAGGCUUGUGUCCGACAGUCAACAAAGCUCUGAUACCAAUUUUUCACACCAAAAUUUCAAGAACAAAAUAUAGUGCAUAAAAGACUCAUGUGCGCCCUAGAAAUAGUCGCACACAUAAGUUGACAAUUCUCAAAUAGCACCAUCACAAUGUUUAUUACAUAGCGGAAUAACAAAUAUUACAUAAUCUUAAACAAAUAAAUAUACUCUCGAUGGAAGCACCACAUAGAGACACUGUCAACUGGUUGACUCCAAGCCUAGUACUCAUAACGGUAGUCUUCAUUCCAGCCAUCUUCAUUAACAUAUCCUGAAGUGUUGUGAAUUAGCAAGAGUGAGCACAUACUGUACUCAACAAGUAUAACCAGGGGUUCAUG
rnacentral:lncRNA from 1 species